rnacentral:rRNA from 1 species
UACGGAGGGUGCGAGCGUUUGUCCGGAAUCACUGGGCGUAAAGGGCGCGUAGGCGGCCUGAUAAGUAGGGGGGUGAAAUCCUGCGGCUUAACCGCAGGGCUGCCUUCUAAACUGUCAGGCUUGAGCACAGUAGAGGCAGGUGGAAUUCCCGGUGUAGCGGUGGAAUGCGUAGAGAUCGGGAAGAACAUCAGUGGCGAAGGCGGCCUGCUGGGCUGUUGCUGACGCUGAGGCGCGACAGCGUGGGGGAGCAAACAGG